GGAAACCGGAGCUAAUACCGGAUAAUAUUUUGAACCGCAUGGUUCAAUAGUGAAAGACGGUUUUGCUGUCACUUAUAGAUGGAUCCGCGCCGCAUUAGCUAGUUGGUAAGGUAACGGCUUACCAAGGCGACGAUGCGUAGCCGACCUGAGAGGGUGAUCGGCCACACUGGAACUGAGACACGGUCCAG
rnacentral:rRNA from 1 species